AUUGAACGCUGGCGGCAUGCCUUACACAUGCAAGUCGAACGGCAGCACGGGUGCUUGCACCUGGUGGCGAGUGGCGAACGGGUGAGUAAUACAUCGGAACAUGUCCUGUAGUGGGGGAUAGCCCGGCGAAAGCCGGAUUAAUACCGCAUACGAUCUACGGACGAAAGCGGGGGACCUUCGGGCCUCGCGCUAUAGGGUUGGCCGAUGGCUGAUUAGCUAGUUGGUGGGGUAAAGGCCUACCAAGGCGGCGAUCAGUAGCUGGUCUGAGAGGACGACCAGCCACACGGGGACUGAGACACGGCCCACACUCCUACGGGAGGCAGCAGUGGGGAAUUUUGGACAAUGGGCGAAAGCCUGAUCCAGCAAUGCCGCGUGUGUGAAGAAGGCCUUCGGGUUGUAAAGCACUUUUGUCCGGAAAGAAAUCCUGGGCCCUAAUACGGUCGGGGGAUGACGGUACCGGAAGAAUAAGCACCGGCUAACUACGUG
rnacentral:rRNA from 1 species